AUUGAACGCUGGCGGCAGGCCUAACACAUGCAAGUCGAACGAGUGGCGGACGGGUGAGUAAUGUCUGGGAAACUGCCUGAUGGAGGGGGAUAACUACUGGAAACGGUAGCUAAUACCGCAUACCAUUGGAUGUGCCCAUAUGGGAUUAGCUAGUAGGGGGGGUAACGGCUCACCUAGGCGACGAUCCCUAGCUGGUCUGAGAGGAUGCCCAGCCACACUGGAACUGAGAAACGGUCCAGACUCCUACGGGAGGCAGCAGUGUGGAAUAUUGGACAAUGGGGGCAAGCCUGAUGCAGCCAUGCCGCGUGUAUGAAGAAGGCCUUCGGGUUGUAAAGUACUUUCAGCGGGGAGGCGUUACCCGCAGAAGAAGCACCGGCUAACUACGUGCCAGCAGCCGCGGUAAUAC
rnacentral:rRNA from 1 species